AUGAUGCCAAGGACAGGCCUCCAAACUGAGGUCACAGGGUGGCCCAAGGCCCUGGAAAUCAGGGCAGCUGCCUCUACAGUGGGUGUAAUUCCAGGCAGUAGCUGCCAAGCUGAGUGGGCCCCUGCAAGAAGAGAAGUGCCCGUCUUCUGGUCAACCUGGAGAUUUGCAUCUCUCCAUCGUGCCCAGUCUCUGGCAGGAAGCCCCACUCCCCAGCCGACACUGCACCAUGCUCAUGGAGGAAGAAGCUGUGCAGCACAGCCCAACAGCGUUUUCCCCUUUCGGUUUUCUAGAGUAGUCUUGCAGAACUAUUUUUUGGUUUUUUUUUUUUUGAGAGAGUCUCACUCUGUUGCCCAGGCUGGAGUGCAGUGGCACCACCUCAGCUCACUGCAACCACCGCCUCCUGGAUUCAAGCGAUUCUCCUGCCUCAGCUCCAGAGUAGCUGA
rnacentral:lncRNA from 10 species